UACGUAGGGUGCGAGCGUUGUCCGGAAUUAUUGGGCGUAAAGGGCUCGUAGGCGGUUUGUCGCGUCGGGAGUGAAAUCCACUGGCUUAACUGGUGGCUUGCUUUCGAUACGGGCAGACUGGAGGUAUGCAGGGGAGAACGGAAUUCCUGGUGUAGCGGUGAAAUGCGCAGAUAUCAGGAGGAACACCGGUGGCGAAGGCGCCACUCUGGGCCACGACUGACGCUGAGGAGCGAAAGCAUGGGUAGCAAACAGG
rnacentral:rRNA from 1 species